rnacentral:rRNA from 1 species
CGGUACUUUGACCGUGCGAAGGUAGCAUAAUAAUUAGUUUUUUAAUUGAAAGCUGGAAUGAAUGGUUGAACGAGAAAAAUACUGUCUCAAGUUAAAUUUAUUAGAAUUUUAUUUUUAAGUUAAAAAGCUUAAAUAUUUUUAAAAGACGAGAAGACCCUAUAGAGUUUUAUAGAUAUUUAUUAUUUAAAAUUUUUGGAAUUAUAUAAUUUUUUAUAAUAAAAUUUAUUUUAUUGGGGUGAUAGAAAAAUUUAAUAAACUUUUUUUUAAUUAAAACAUUUAUUUAUGAAUUUUUGAUCCAUUAUUUAUGAUUAUAAGAUUAAAUUACCUUAGGGAUAACAGCGUAAUUUCUUUAAAGAGUUCAAAUCGAAAAAGAAGUUUGCGACCUCGAUGUUGGAUUAAAAUUAAAUUUUGGUGUAGAAGCUAAAA